UAGUCAUAUGCUUGUCUCAAAGAUUAAGCCAUGCAUGUCUAAGUAUAAACAUCUUUAUACAGUGAAACUGCGUACAGCUCAUUAUAUCAGUAAUUAUUUAUUUGAUGGUACCUUACUACAUGGAUACCCGUAGUAAUUCUAGAGCUAAUACAUGCGUAAAGUCUCAACUCUUGCGGGAAGAGAUGUAUUUAUUAGAUAAAAAAUCAAUGCAAACAGUAAUGUUUGGUUAUUUGGUGAUUCAUAGUAACUGUUCGAAUCGUAUGGCUUUAUGCUGACG
rnacentral:rRNA from 1 species